CGGCGGACGGGUGAGUAAUGCCUAGGAAUCUGCCUGGUAGUGGGGGACAACGUUUCGAAAGGAACGCUAAUACCGCAUACGUCCUACGGGAGAAAGCAGGGGACCUUCGGGCCUUGCGCUAUCAGAUGAGCCUAGGUCGGAUUAGCUAGUUGGUGAGGUAAUGGCUCNCCAAGGCGACGAUCCGUAACUGGUCUGAGAGGAUGAUCAGUCACACUGGAACUGAGACACGGUCCAGACUCCUACGGGAGGCAGCAGGU
rnacentral:rRNA from 1 species